rnacentral:ncRNA from 2 species
AAUUGAACAUAGCUGAUGACUCGUAUAAUUUUGGGAAUUGGCCCAUGAGUUUCUACCGGGUGACCGUAAAUCGCCUGACUACGAGUGAACGAGCGACCAGG